GAGUUUGAUCCUGGCUCAGGAUGAACGCUAGCGGCAGGCUUAACACAUGCAAGUCGAGGGGUAACAGGAAGUGCUCACUUUGCUGACGACCGGCGCACGGGUGCGUAACGCGUAUACAAUCUGCCUUAUACUGGGGGAUAGCCUUUAGAAAUGAAGAUUAACACCCCAUAGUCUAUAGAAGUGGCAUCACUCUUAUAGUAAAGGUUACGGUAUAAGAUGAGUAUGCGUCCUAUUAGUUAGUUGGUAAGGUAACGGCUUACCAAGACGACGAUAGGUAGGGGCCCUGAGAGGGGGAUCCCCCACACUGGUACUGAGACACGGACCAGACUCCUACGGGAGGCAGCAGUGAGGAAUAUUGGACAAUGGAGGCAACUCUGAUCCAGCCAUGCCGCGUGCAGGAAGACGGCCCUAUGGGUUGUAAACUGCUUUUAUAUAGGAAGAAACCUUUCCACGUGUGGAAAGCUGACGGUACUAUAAGAAUAAGCACCGGCUAACUCCGUGCCAGCAGCCGCGGUAAUACGGAGGGUGCAAGCGUUAAUCGGAAUUACUGGGCGUAAAGCGCGCGUAGGCGGUUUGCUAAGCCAGAUGUGAAAGCCCCGGGCUCAACCUGGGAACUGCAUUUGGAACUGGCAGGCUAGAGUACGGUAGAGGGUGGUAGAAUUUCCUGUGUAGCGGUGAAAUGCGUAGAUAUAGGAAAUACUACUGGCGAAGGCGGCCACCUGGACUGAUACUGACGCUGAGGUGCGAAAGCGUGGGGAGCGAACAGGAUUAGAUACCCUUAGUCCACGCCGUAAACGAUGUCAACUAGCCGUAGGGAUCCUUGAGGUCUUUGUGGCGCAGCUAACGCAAUAAGUUGACCGCCUGGGGAGUACGGCCGCAAGGUUAAAACUCAAAUGAAUUGACGGGGGCCCGCACAAGCGGUGGAGCAUGUGGUUUAAUUCGAUGCAACGCGAAGAACCUUACCUGGUCUUGACAUCCUGCGAACUUUCUAGAGAUAGAUUGGUGCCUUCGGGAACGCAGUGACAGGUGCUGCAUGGCUGUCGUCAGCUCGUGUCGUGAGAUGUUGGGUUAAGUCCCGCAACGAGCGCAACCCUUGCCUUUAGUUGCCAUCAUUAAGUUGGGCACUCUAGAGGGACUGCCGGUGUCAAACCGGAGGAAGGUGGGGAUGACGUCAAGUCCUCAUGGCCCUUAUGUCCAGGGCUACACACGUGCUACAAUGGAGCGUACAAAGGGUUGCAACCCCGCGAGGGUGAGCUAAUCCCAUAAAACGUGUCUCAGUCCGGAUUGGAGUCUGAACAUCGACUCCAUGAAGUUGGAAUCGCUAGUAAUCGUAGACCCGAAUGCUAAGGUGAAUACGUUCCCGGGCCUUGUACACACCGCCCGUCACACCACGGGAGUUGGUUGUACCAGAAGUAGUUAGCAUAACCUUCGGGAGUGCGCUCACCACUUUGUGAUUCAUGACUGGGGUGCAGUCGGAACAAGGUAGCC
rnacentral:rRNA from 1 species